rnacentral:rRNA from 1 species
UACAGAGGGGGCAAGCGUUGUUCGGAAUUACUGGGCGUAAAGCGUGUGUAGGCGGUCCACUAAGUCGGGUGUGAAAGCCCUGGGCUCAACCCAGGAAGUGCACUCGAAACUGGCGGGCUAGAGUAUCGGAGAGGUUGGUGGAAUUCUCGGUGUAGAGGUGAAAUUCGUAGAUAUUAGCUAGAACACCAGUGGCGAAGGCGGCCAACUGGUCCGGUACUGACGCUGAGGUGCGAAAGCGUGGGGAGCAAACAGG